CAUAGAUAAACGUGUAGUAGAGUGUACUUUGUUCUGAAAAUGACCGAAGCAAAUCUAGUUUCACUGUGUCUCUCAUCUCGCCUCUUCUUCUAUCUGACUAAUUCCUAUUCACACGUCCAAAUUUGAGCCACCCCUUAAUUCAUCUUAUUGUUUUCAUGGGAAAUCUUAGCCUCAUCAAUUCUGAAAAUUGAUUCUUGUGGCCCAAUUAUCAGAUGUAUCGAUUCUAUGUUUGUCUAUAUCUUAAUCUCAAAGAAUGGAUCCGGCUGUUGGAGUAGUGGUAGUUUUGGUUGUAAUUCACGGUCAGUUGUUAGUCAAUUGAUUGAAUAUAAUGGAGAUUUCCAUCUCUAGAUCUACCAAUUCAAGAUUAUAUCUUUUCUCCAACUUGGGAGGGAUUGAAUUGUUCUUAGCUUCCUUUCCAGAUCUACCAAACAAGCAAGGUCCAUGGCUCAUGAAUUUAUAUGCACAUGAACUAAAUUACAUAUACAGAGAGACAUGGCUGAGAAAGCAUGGAGUGUUUACCCGUGUCAUUCCAUCACAGAGAGGAAGAGGUUCUCAUCCAUUAUAUGGGAGUAGUAUAGUCGAGGUUUCACAUUGUAGUUCCUUUUUAUUUACACCACUGCGACCAACAGGAAAAAGAUCAAUGAGAUGUAUCAUAGUUUUUGCUUUAGUUCUUCUAUUAUUGAUCACCACAUAACAGUUAACUUCAUUCCUCCAAAUAUUUCAUACAAACCCCAGUUCUGAAAUGCUACUUUCCUAAGAAAAGGCCAUCAAAAUGCAGGUAAUAAACCCAACAAAAAAGAAGCAAAAAGGUGCAAACUUUAAGGGUAGGAAAAUGACACUUAGAAUAAAAAAGGAGAAAUUAUGAGAGAAUCACAGCUUCAAACUUGUAAAAUUUAGUAGUAAUAUAUCAGAUCUUACAACAAGAUUGAAACUUUUGAAUUGAACAAAAAGUUUCAACCAAUUCUUGAAGAGCAGGAUGCCAGGAUCACAAAACAUCAAAGUGGCCAGUAGAAAAAAAUGAAAAGAUGGACAGAACUCAACCACAAAUGUUCAAUAAAAAUCCAUACUUUGCAGAAAAAUAAAAUUAUAAGAGCCAAAUAUCAAGAAACUUAUGUAUAAUAAGAAGAGGAACAUGAAAAUUUUGGAUGAAAAAGUUACAAUUUGCCAUUACAAAAGAUAAAAAAGACUCCAGCUUUGAGCUUUUCUUGGGCAUGUAAACUAUAGUAAUGCAAGUAAUGAAGAAAAACAGGCCAUUCUUGAAUUUGUGCUAGUUGUGUAAUCUCCAAGAAUAAUUAAUCACACAUUCAUGGUUUUCUGACAAUAAUCCAGAAAAUAUUACACUGCAAAAAGCUCUGAAAUCACGGGAACAAUUUUGAUUGAACACAACUGAAGUAAAUUAUGCUUACAAUAAGCAAAAAGAACUGAAGAUAGGAAACAACACAAAACAAAAGGUAAAUUUUGAAGGGAAAACAGAUUUUGAGAAGCUAAAUUGACACAAGAGAGAAAACACACAGACACACUCAUUUUCUCUUUCUUUUUUUUUCUUCCCUUUACUACAUUAGUGUUUAUUGCUAAUAGCAGUUAAGAAAACAAAAGAAAGAGAAACAAGGAUAAUGAGAACAACAGAGGGUACUUUUACCUCUAAGUUUCGCAAGAUAAGGUAGAAGAUUAACAACAAUCUCAUCUUCUUCAUCAGAGUCGGAUCCAUCAUCAAGAUCUUAUACAAUUAAAAAAGAAAAUAUAUCAAAUAUUACUGAUAAUUAGUUAUUCAGAAAAUAAAAUAAACCAAAAUUGUUUCUUAGACACUCCACAAAUUACAUUAGACCAAGAUUACUUAGACAUGGUAGACCAAGAUUACUUAGACACUCCCCAAAUGGCAUUUUUCUUGUUUCUGAAUUCUUGAUAUGCUUAACACCUUCUCUAAUUUUCGCAAUAGUUGCAUCGGCCUUCUCUAAGCCUGUCUUAACUAUUAAGUUCAAAAUGUGAUUCCCACAACCGAUAUGAAUCAACUUUCCGUGCUCUCUUCUUCUCGAACUGAUUUUCUCCCCUUUCUUUUUUGGGAGGUAAGAAACUGUUGGAGAAGAAUAGAACUGAAAUAAAAGUUCUAUUAACUCCAACUAUUUUUAUCCACAAAUUAAACCUUUCUUUAUUCAUCACAAGGAGCCUCAUCUUGGCUUUCGUUGCUAAAGUAAGUUCAUCUCUUCUACACCAUCAUAUUACUUAAUAUCGAUGCACUUCACAACUCUUCAGCUAGGAUUGACAGGUUAAAAAAAGAAAGAAGCUAAUUUGCCUAUAGAUAACAUGUGAAGUUUGGCAGGUUAAAGCUACUUGCGCAAGAAAUAAUCAUAAGAAAGUGGGAACGUGAAUUUGAACCUGCCUUUUUUUUGCUACUGUAUUUUUUAUGAAGUAAUAGUGCACGAUUAAAAGGUGAGAAUUUCUGGCUAACAUUACAAGGAUAUAUUCAUCAAUAGAUAGACAAUUGUUUUGAGUUAUAUUUUUUCUUCGUUCUCUGUUUUCGUGUAGGCAUGUGUCCUGUUACAGUUAAAAAAAGGUGGUCUUUCCCCAAUUUUCUCAUAUUUUGAGCAAAUGCAAACAGACAAUAGUAUUUGUUAUUGGCUGGCGUAAAGAACACCAGUUUACGUAGUAAAAUAUACAUUCCUAUUUGAAGGAGGAACUUUGUUAGAUACCCCAAAAAAUAUCCAUAAACUCCUUGGAAGAAAUACCAAACUUCAAUUUUUCUGGCACACACAUGCAUCCGGUUUACUUCAUCUGCCAGCAAAUCACUUGCUGCUUCCCCAUUUGUCAAUAAAAUUUUGAACUAAAUGAAAAAAUACAUGAGGUAUUAGGUAUCUACUUAAGAGUGUUUCUCAGAAUUCUAAGAGACAACAGACAUAAUGGUUUCUAAGAGACAGUCACAAUGGUUUAAUUAAUUAUUUAGUUGUUUUGUCUUCUUUUUCAAACAAAAUUAAUUGAAUGAUAAUGGCCAUUUAAAAUUUAUGGGCUUUUGUGUAACUUAACUUUAACAUUAAAGGGCCACUUAUAAUAUAGUACUAGUCUUAGGGUACGCGCUUUGCGCUUGUGUACCUGUCUGAAGAAAUACAAAAUUUUAAAAUAAAUCACAUAAAAUUAAUUUAAAAUAUUUUGUCUGAGUUGUAUAAUGGAAGUUAAGAGAAAGUGUAAAAUCAUGGAAAUGAUGAUUAAUAUUCAGCCUAUUUACAGCUUGUUUGGAUAGUCGUUACCUAUUGUAUUGUAUCGUAUUGUUACUUUAAAUAGGAUGUUUG